rnacentral:rRNA from 1 species
UACGAAGGGGCGAGCGUUGUUCGGAAUCACUGGGCGUAAAGGGCGCGUAGGUGGUUUGAUAAGGGUGUGGUGAAAACCCGGGGCUCAACCCCGGGCGCAUUCGAUACUGCGCGGCUCGAGACAGGUAGGGGAGGAGUCGGAAUUCCUGGUGUAGCGGUGAAAUGCGCAGAUAUCAGGAGGAACACCGGUGGCGAAGGCGGAUCUCUGGGCCUGUUCUGACGCUGAGGCGCGAAAGCUAGGGGGAGCGAACAGG